CCUACGGGCGACUGCAGUGAGGAAUAUUGGUCAAUGGACGCGAGUCUGAACCAGCCAAGCCGCGUGAAGGAUGACUGCUCUAUGGGUUGUAAACUUCUUUUAUAUGGGAGUAAAAUCUUAUACGUGUGGGAUUUUGUAUGUAUCAUAUGAAUAAGGAUCGGCUAACUCCGUGCCAGCAGCCGCGGUAAUACGGAGGAUCCAAGCGUUAUCCGGAUUUAUUGGGUUUAAAGGGUGCGUAGGUGGAUUGUUAAGUCAGUUGUGAAAGUUUGCGGCUCAACCGUAAAAUUGCAGUUGAUACUGGCAGUCUUGAGUACAGUAGAGGUAGGCGGAAUGUGUGGUGUAGCGGUGAAAUGCUUAGAGAUCACGAAGAACACCGAUUGCGAAGGCAGCUCACUAGACUACAACUGACACUGAGGCUCGAAAGUGUGGGGAGCAAACAGGAUUAGAUACCCGAGUAGUC
rnacentral:rRNA from 1 species